UGUGUCAAAGUGACUGUGGUUGC
rnacentral:piRNA from 1 species